GACAGAGGGGGCAAGCGUUGCUCGGAAUUACUGGGCGUAAAGGGCGCGUAGGCGGGAUGGCAAGUCGGUCGUGAAAUCCCUCGGCUCAACCGAGGAACGUCGAUCGAUACUGCUGUUCUUGAGGAUUGCAGAGGAGACUGGAAUUCCCGGUGUAGCGGUGAAAUGUGUAGAUAUCUGGAGGAACACCGGUGGCGAAGGCGGCAUCCUGGACCAAUACUGACGCUGAGGAGCGAUAGCCAGGGGAGCAAACGGG
rnacentral:rRNA from 1 species